AGUCGCGACAAAAGUUACAAUAGACUCGGUUGCAGUUCUUCCUAAGGUGCACCCAGCUGCACACGAUCCUCCCUCCUUCGCUCUCUACUUCGUUCGUCCUUCUCCACCCUCUCCUCUUCUCUGUUUCUGCUCUGUUCCACUCGCGACUCAGAGAUCAACCACAGCUCGCUUAACCGACUAUCCGAACUCUUCGUUGUAACCGAAAUCCGGUGCACCUAUAAAGAUCCGAAUGAGGGAUCCGAAUCUGGAGUUGCAGGAAUCGGGUUGGGAGGAGCUGCGCAAGGAAGCGCGCAAGAUCGAGGGCGAUCUCGACGUCAAGCUCUCCUCCUACGCUAAACUCGGCGCUCGCUUCACCCAAGGAGGUUCAGGUUCAGGUUAUGUGGACAGUGGUUCACCACCUAUUGGGUCCAGUAGGUCUUGGAAGUCCAUGGAAAUGGAAAUCCAGUCUUUGCUCGAGAAACUGUUGGACAUAAAUGAUUCAAUGAGUAGAUGUGCUGCAUCUGCUGGACCGGCUACUUCUGUAACUCAAAAGUUGGCUAGGCACAGAGACAUUCUUCAUGAGUUUACCCAGGAAUUUAGACGUAUCAAGGGGAACAUAAACUCAAUGAGGGAACAUGCAGAGCUUUUGAGUUCUGUCAGGGAUGAUAUUACUGACUUUAAGGCAGUAUGUCACCAAGGAUGCAGUUACUACGUGAGAGAGCUGCCAUCCAUGGAAGUAUAUCUCAUGAAGCAGGAAUCAAACCAACAAUGCACCACUGAGAACACGUACCUACGACCCAAACGCAGGAGCAACCCACCCAAGCACCUUGGGGAUUAUGUCUAACAGAAUCUGUUAGAAAUCGCUGAGUUGGCAGAUCCUUAUUCGUUGAGGAGAAAUAUGCUGUCUGCUGCUUGUCCCCAACCUUCCUGUCGUGCCAUGCAUUCUGUUAUUUCAUGUCCAUGCUUUCUGUUACUCCAUUUUCAUGUUUUUUUAUCAUAUCAUCCUUGUAUGAUGCCUAUAUAUAGUGCUUAGUAUGUAAUGAAUGGCAGCAGUUUAAUAAAAUCAACUUCCUCUCCCUUUUGGAGGCCCCUAGUCCUCCAAUUCUAGGGUUGUUUCGGAGCAUAACAUAUUUGGUGCUUUCAUUGAGUUGAGCCAUGGCUGAGUCAACUCGCUUGAAAUCUAACAUGGAAUGGAUAGAGGAAGCCAUUGCAAAGCUUACCUCUAAUCAACUCAACAUCACAGCUACUUAGACUCACAUGACGACGAAGCUUGAUGGGCUCCUCCAGAAAAUGGCCAUUUUGGAAACCAAUCAACACUCACCUUCGUCUUCCUCCGCUAAUCCUCAUUCUCCACCUCCUUCCUCACAUCCUCACCGUAUGAAGUUGGAUGUGCUGCGAUUUGAUGGGACAGAUCCCUCCAGUUGGAUCUUUAAGAUAACACAGUUUUUUGACUAUCAUUCCACCCUGGACUAAAAUCGAUUGACCAUAGCCUCCUUCUAUAUGGAGAGACUGACUUUGGCUUGGUUCCAAUGGAUGACUCGAGAUGGCCUGAUUUCGUCGUGGCCAGGCCUUCUCCAGGCUCUAGAGGUCCGAUUUGUUCCUUCUCAGUAUGAGGAUCCCAUCGGAACUUUGUUUAAAUUGACACGAGAUAGAUGAUGUGAUUAGUCAAGCUCAAGCAACAAGAGCUGUGUUGGGUUCUCAGAGAACAUUGUUUACUGAUGUUCAAGGAAAAGUGAAGGUUCUUGGUGACAAGUUCCCCAUGAUUCGU